CUAACAGCGAUGAUAGAGAAGAGUAGUUUACGGGAGCGUCAAUCAGGGAGAAAAUGCCGGUGACUGAGAGCAUUUUUUUGACUGCGGUAAAUGAAUUCACCUCUUUAGCUGGCAUCAGGACCAUUCGGCUUUUGAAUGUAAAGAUGUUCCGGAUCAAUUCCGUUAUCUUAGAACGAAGUGAACAGCUUAUGUUUUUUUGCUGUUAACAAGGGUGGUACCGCGAUAUUCAACUCGUCCCUUUU
rnacentral:ncRNA from 1 species